rnacentral:rRNA from 1 species
UAAGGAAUAUUGGUCAAUGGACGCAAGUCUGAACCAGCCAUGCCGCGUGGAGGAUGAAGGUCCUCUGGAUUGUAAACUUCUUUUAUCUGGGAAGAAAUGUAUUUUUUCUAAAGUACUUGACGGUACCAGAUGAAUAAGCACCGGCUAACUCCGUGCCAGCAGCCGCGGUAAUACGGAGGGUGCAAGCGUUAUCCGGAUUCACUGGGUUUAAAGGGUGCGUAGGCGGAUUUGUAAGUCCGUGGUGAAAUCUCCGAGCUUAACUCGGAAACUGCCAUGGAUACUAUAAGUCUUGAAUGUUGUGGAGGUUUGCGGAAUAUGUCAUGUAGCGGUGAAAUGCUUAGAUAUGACAUAGAACACCGAUUGCGAAGGCAGCAGGCUACACAAAUAUUGACGCUGAGGCACGAAAGCGUGGGGAUCAAACA